CGAGAAUCUACCCAUGAGUGGGGGACAACCCGGGGAAACUCGGGCUAAUACCGCAUACGCCCUACGGGGUAAAGCAGGGGACCUUCGGGCCUUGCGCUGAUGGAUGAGCUCGCGUCGGAUUAGCUUGUUGGUGAGGUAAAGGCUCACCAAGGCGACGAUCCGUAGCUGGUCUGAGAGGAUGAUCAGCCACACCGGGACUGAGACACGGCCCGGACUCCUACGGGAGGCAGCAGUGGGGAAUCUUGGACAAUGGGGGCAACCCUGAUCCAGCCAUGCCGCGUGUGUGAAGAAGGCCUUCGGGUUGUAAAGCACUUUCAGCAGGGAGGAAGGCUUACCCCUAAUACGGGUGAGUACUUGACGUUACCUGCAGAAGAAGCACCGGCUAAUUUCGUGCCAGCAGCCGCGGUAAUACGAAAGGUGC
rnacentral:rRNA from 1 species